rnacentral:rRNA from 1 species
GCUAAACGCGAAGAACCUUACCUGGGUUUGACAUUCUGGGAAAAGCCACAGAGAUGUGGUGUCCGAAAGGGUCCAGAACAGGUGGUGCAUGGCUGUCGUCAGCUCGUGUCGUGAGAUGUUGGGUUAAGUCCCGCAACGAGCGCAACCCUUGUCCUAUGUUGCCAGCACGUAAUGGUGGGGACUCGUAGGAGACUGCCGGGGUCAACUCGGAGGAAGGUGGGGACGACGUCAAGUCAUCAUGCCCCUUAUGUCCAGGGCUGCAAACAUGCUACAAUGGCUGGUACAAAGGGCUGCUAUACCGCGAGGUGGAGCGAAUCCCAAAAAGCCAGUCUCAGUUCGGAUUGGAGUCUGCAACUCGACUCCAUGAAGUCGGAAUCGCUAGUAAUCGUGGAUCAGCAUGUCACGGUGAAUACGUUCCCGGGUAUUGUACACACCG